CCAGACUCCUACGGGAGGCAGCAGUGGGGAAUAUUGCACAAUGGGGGGAACCCUGAUGCAGCGACGCCGCGUGGGCGAGGAAGUAUUUCGGUAUGUAAAGCUCUAUCAGCAGGGAAGAAAAUGACGGUACCUGACUAAGAAGCCCCGGCUAACUACGUGCCAGCAGCCGCGGUAAUACGUAGGGGGCAAGCGUUAUCCGGAUUUACUGGGUGUAAAGGGAGCGUAGGUGGCAUGGUAAGCCAGAAGUGAAAACCCGGGGCUCAACCCCGCGGAUUGCUUUUGGAACUAUCAGGCUGGAGUGCUGGAGGGGUAAGCGGAAUUCCUAGUGUAGCGGUGAAAUGCGUAGAUAUUAGGAGGAACACCGGUGGCGAAGGCGGCUUACUGGACAGAAACUGACACUGAGGCUCGAAAGCGUGGGGAGCAAACAGGAUUAGAUACCCCUGUACC
rnacentral:rRNA from 1 species